rnacentral:lncRNA from 1 species
AACAAACUUACCUCCUUAAUGGAGUCCUUUCUAAUUGUAUUUUCACAGGUGUGAUGCUUUUCUGCUUAACACCGUCUUCAGUAAGCUGUCACAUUUUCACUAGGAUGCAGGACUUGAUUUAAAUGCCUGGAGUUUGCCAUUUUCUGUCACAUUUAUGAGAAAUUACCUCCAAAAAUAUGGGACAAAUCAAAGGAAAUAACAGAAUCUCCUCUAAUAACAAUUCAUCACGUCAGAGUCAGCUGUCAGAAAUUGACGAUCCCGAUCAUGUUGUAAGGGUGAAGAAAGGAGCUAAGCAUUGGGGAAGAGGAAAAUACGUCUUUGUUCCCGUGAUAAUUCAAAAUGGCUGGUUAUGGUAAGGAUC